rnacentral:rRNA from 1 species
AUCCUUCUGUGCUACCAAAUCAGUCUCCCCAUAUCAGAAUAUUGGCAUGUAUCCACCCUCAGUCCCUCACUCCUCUCCGUCUCGGUCUCACUGUUCAUCUUGCUUCACCGUGUGCACGCCGAGUGUGAGCCGGUGGCAUGCGGGAACUUCACCAUCAAGUACCCGUUCUGGCUCGGUGCUCCUAGCCACUCCCCGCCGGAGCCCGCUUGCGGCCGCCCGGCCUUUGAGCUCUGGCGCACCAACAGCAACACCAAGGCUUCCAUUUCCAUGCGUGGCUCCGCCAUCCAAGUCCUCAACAUCGACUACAGUGCCAGCUCCUUCCUUGUGUCUCACAGCAGAUUCUCCGCGACCGAGAAUGGUGUGUGCCUCGCUGACUUCAACAUGUCGUCCAGCCUAGCUCUCAGCCCGUUCAAGACUAGCCCGAGGCUUCCAUUUCCAUACGUGGCCCUGUGCUUCCUCUUCGACUGCAACGGGACGGAGCCACGGGGUCCUGGCUACACGAACGCCACCGCCGGCUGCGAUAAGCCCAUCUACGCGUACCUCGGCAGGAUCUACGACCGGGACACGCCGCCGGCGAUCCCCACUGGAAACUGCACGUACACCUACCUCCCGGUGCUCGGGGCGGAGGCGGCGGCCGCCGACUACAGCCAGCUGCUGAAGGCUGGGUUCGUCCUGGACUGGGAGGGCACCGGAGUCGGGGAAUGCCCCGCUUGCAUUGCUAGCGGCGGCCAGUGCCGAUACAACACCUCCAACGCGAAGUUCCUGUGCCUCUGCCCUGCCCCAAUGGCAUGCUGCACGGGUCGACAUGUGCCGGUAGCAAGAAGAGAGGGCACAACUUUAUGCUAAUAGAUGACAUCAGGAGCUACAACCUUUCUCUUUGCUUGUCUUUAUGUGUUGAUAUGGUAUAGGAAGGGGAACAGAUUAUGGUUUCUCCUUUCCAAGAAGACUAGCAGUAACACUGAAAAGAAUUACGAGGCCAUGAUAGUGUCAUAUGGAUCGCUAGCUCCAAAACGAUACAUGUAGUUGGAGAUAAUGAAGAUAACGUCCUAUCAAAAUGAUCAGCUUGGAAAAGGAGGUUAUGGUGUCGUUUUCAAAGGAAGACUAUAUGAUGGUCGUCUAGUUGCUGUGAAAUUCUUGCAUGACUACAAAGGAAACGGGGAUGAGUUUGUGAAUGAAGUUAUGAGCAUUGGAAGGACCUCUCAUGUUAAUGUUGUUAGUUUAUUUGGGUUUUGUUUGGAGAGAUCAAAACGUGCUCUUAUAUAUGAGUACAUGCCCAAUGGUUCCUUGGAUAAGUACAUUUACUCAGAGAACCCCAAAGAAAUUUUAGGAUGGGAGAGGCUAUAUGCGAUAUCAAUCGGUAUUGCUCGUGGCCUCGAAUACUUGCACCAUAGCUGUAAUACACGUAUUGUCCAUUUCGAUAUCAAGCCCCAAAAUAUCCUUCUAGACAAAGAUUUUAGCCCGAAGAUUGCUGAUUUUGGUCUAGCUAAAUUGUGUCAUACAAAAGAGAGCAAGCUUUCAGUGACUGGGGUUAGAGGAACAAUUGGAUUCAUCGCCCCAGAAGUUCACUAUCGAACCUUCGGGGUGGUUUCAACAAAGUCAGAUGUUUAUAGCUAUGGAAUGAUGCUGCUGGAGAUGGUUGGAGGUAGGAGAAAUGUAAAAUCAAUUGUUGCAAAAUCUAGCGAAAAGUAUUUUCCAGAUUGGAUUUACGACCACUUUGCACAAGAUGAGGGAUUGCAAGCAUGUGAAAUUACAAUAGAAAUUGAGGAGAUCGCGAGAAAGAUGAUCAUAAUAGGCUUGUGGUGCAUACAAGUGUUACCUAUGUAUCGCCCUACUAUAACAAAAGUUCUAGAAAUGUUUGAGAGAAGCUUAGAUGAUCUGGAGAUGCCGCCGAAGCAGAACUUCUGUGAACUAUUUGAAAACUCAGCUCACAAUUUGGAUGUACAAAGUUCAAGUUCUACUAAACCUGAAGAGAUCAGCCUUGUGAAAUCAGAAAUCCUACAACAAUCGCCUACUCAUUGA